GUUCGGAUUGUAGGCUGCAACUCGCCUACAUGAAGUUGGAAUUGCUAGUAAUCAUAGGUCAGCAUACUAUGGUGAAUACGUUCCCGGGCCUUGUACACACCGCCCGUCACACCAUGAGAGUUGGGAAUACCCGAAGCCCAUGUCAAAGUGGUCGAAGGUAGGCUUGAUGAUUGGGGUGAAGUCGUAACAAGGUACC
rnacentral:rRNA from 1 species